CCUGCCCAGAGCCUCAGGUUUGUCCGAAUGGGUGCACCAGUCACCUAACUCCAGGCCAAGUCCGCUGACCUGCUUCUCUCAUGCACGCUCCUCGUGGAUGUGUGUGUGCUGAAUUCAACAAGGACACAUGGGACUGGGGAAAAUAGACAUGUGUUAUGGCUGCCCCCACUGGUGCAGAGCACUGACAAGUUUUAAUUAAUUCCAGAGCAACCUUGUGAGAGUCAGUUCUCCCAACAUGCUCUGGAUGUGAAAACCUGGGGCAGAGAAAUUGAGAUACCUGAGAUACUAGACUGGGCCACGGGAGAAGGGGUCGCCACACCGUGCCCACCUCUCCUCACCCGCCCAAGGCUGGAGCCUGCACUCGCACCUUACCCUAGGAGAGCUGGAAUGGACGUUACCCUGUAAAGUCACCAGGUAACAGGUCUAUGCUGAUGGUUCACUGGUUCCACUUACCACAAAGUAAGGAGCCUCGUGUACCGGAUUUGUGCUUUUAAGUCUGCUUCGUGUCUGUACAAUGCCUGGGGGAUUUCAGGCCCCUGAAAAGUCCUAUUCGUCCAUCCUUUUGAAUUCUUAGGUUUGUAAUCAUUAGCACACAGAUUCCCAAGGACAGAGAUGAGGUAUGCAGUACAUAAGCCAAAAUAACUGACAAGGAAGACGAUGCUAAUAUAGAAAAAAAUCAGUGCAUCCACAAAAAUGCAAAGCCCGUUGCCUAAAUCAUUCGAGGGAGGAGAGUCAUGAAAAUGCAAGGACUCUCUGACUCACUUGCCUAGGAAGUCCAUGACAUCUGACGACCACUACACGCCGGUCUUGUUGAGACGCCAUGGUGUGUGGUGUGAAUAAACACACUCGUGGUAGGAUCACAGGCUCUUUCCGACAUGCGCUAAGCCCAAGAUAAGGGUGAGUCUCACCAGUGCACGGACUCCCCUCGGGGCCUGGCACCCGGGCACACAGACGGAGCAGCCCCGUGUCCCGGCUAACACCUGAAGUCCCAGCCCGGUCAUCGAGGUGCUCCCGUUCCCUUUCAGUAAGUUAUGCGGCCACCCCCCUGACAAAGCAAAGGGCAUUACUGAGCACUGGGGAGGUGUUCAAAUCC